GAAGGAAUAAACAAAAUAGUGACGAAGCAAACAUCGGCCCUUAUUCUGCCAGCAGUUCCUGACGUGACUUUGGUAGAAGAGAUGAUGAGGGCUCUCCGACAGCGAAAAAGGAACAAAUGUGAAGAAAAAAAAGAAAGAAAGAGAAAGAGAGAGAGAAAGAGAGAGGAUGACUCGUGGUCGAGAGACGUUGACACUCUGGCAACAAUAAAAACGAUACAUCGAGGCGUAACGAAUGCGAUAUAAAUAAAAUAAUCGUGAAACGCAAAGAGUCCCCUUCGUAAAAGGGCCGAAAAAGGAUUCACGCUUCGAACGAAUUCGAAUGAUCGGAGAUACACGUGUGACGUAUUAAUUGGAACCAAAUCGUUCGAGCAAAUGACGAAAUUGAGCAGAAAAUUUCCAAUUUGGAUUUCGAAGGGGAGAAUUCAAUUUUAUGUUCAAUAAUAAAUACCGAGAGUAAUUCCAUUACAUGGAUGUGUCUGAUCGGUCCAAGGAGGACGAUUAUUAAACGAUUUUUCCUUUACGCAAGACGAGAGGAGUAAGCGUUCGGUCAUCGAUGGCUUGCUUAUAUUCACCUUCAUUACCGACGGAUCCAUUAAAGCUCGAACCAAGGAAAGGAGUCCAAGGAGGAGGAGGAGAAGGCUGUUUAUUCCGAUCAUUCGGUAGUAGAAACUCGUGUUCCUCCAUCGUUCUCUACCGUACUUUUACAUCGAACGUCGACCAUUUCCAUGGAGUGAAUGACGAAUGGGCAAAAGUCAUGACGAAUUAUUACGCGAGGUACGUCAUGCAUCAUGCUGCCAGCGUUUAUCGCGCGGGAAUAAAACGAAAGGAUCGGUCGCAACGAUGUGUGCUAGUGUCUUCUUAAAUUUCAUACUACACAACGACGAAGAGGAGGAGGAAGAAGAAGAAGAAGAAAAGAAGGAGGAAGAUGAAGAUGGAGGUAAAGGUGGAGGUAGAGAUGGAGUAGCACAAAAUGACUUCCACCAAAGUGCCGAGAGACGGUAGAGGAGGUGCGUCGUCUAUCAGUUCCACGCUAUCUGAUAUCGCUUGGUAAAAGGCCGGUGAACGCGGACACGGCCAAGUCAAUGAUUUCAAUCUGCUGUCAAUGCCAACCAACUUUCGCUCGGUGGAGUCAUUUACUAGCCUCUGCUGCUGCUGCUCAGGAUCACUGUUGGCGCGGUCUGCCCGUUGAUACUCGAUCAUAUUCAAGUAACUAAGACCGUUCCUUCUCUUUCUCUCUUCAGUCUCUCUUUUUCUCGUUUUUCUGCAAUGGCUACCGGCGCGAUUAUCUCUACACAACAACUAUACGAGCAUCGACGAUGGAUAUGCGAGCCGCGAGAUAUUCGUCGAAUAUCAUCGUGGAUUUCUUUCUUUUUUCUUCUUUUUUCUUUACUUCUUCUUUUUCUUCUUUUCUUUUCUUUUCUUUUCUUUUCUUUUCUUUUCUUUUCUUUUCUUUUCUUUUUUACAUUGCGCAAGUAUACGUGAGUGAUGGUAGAGAGUCCUCCUCGAGGAAUACAAGUAGUUACAAGUCGAAUAAGUAAUUUUUGCGUUUCUUUUUAUUAUACCAA